rnacentral:rRNA from 1 species
UACAGAGGUCUCAAGCGUUGUUCGGAUUCAUUGGGCGUAAAGGGUGCGUAGGUGGCGCGCUAAGUCAGGUGUGAAAUUUCGGAGCUUAACUCCGAAACUGCAUUUGAUACUGGCGUGCUUGAGGACUGGAGAGGAGACUGGAAUUCAUGGUGUAGCAGUGAAAUGCGUAGAGAUCAUGAGGAAGACCAGUGGCGAAGGCGGGCCUCUGGACAGUUCCUGACACUGAGGAGCGAAAGCGUGGGGAGCGAACAGG